CAAGUAGAACGCUGAGAACUGGUGCUUGCACCGGUUCAAGGAGUUGCGAACGGGUGAGUAACGCGUAGGUAACCUACCUCAUAGCGGGGGAUAACUAUUGGAAACGAUAGCUAAUACCGCAUAAGAGAGACUAACGCAUGUUAGUAAUUUAAAAGGGGCAAUUGCUCCACUAUGAGAUGGACCUGCGUUGUAUUAGCUAGUUGGUGAGGUAAAGGCUCACCAAGGCGACGAUACAUAGCCGACCUGAGAGGGUGAUCGGCCACACUGGGACUGAGACACGGCCCAGACUCCUACGGGAGGCAGCAGUAGGGAAUCUUCGGCAAUGGGGGCAACCCUGACCGAGCAACGCCGCGUGAGUGAAGAAGGUUUUCGGAUCGUAAAGCUCUGUUGUUAGAGAAGAAUGAUGGUGGGAGUGGAAAAUCCACCAAGUGACGGUAACUAACCAGAAAGGGACGGCUAACUACGUGCCAGCAGCCGCGGUAAUACGUAGGUCCCGAGCGUUGUCCGGAUUUAUUGGGCGUAAAGCGAGCGCAGGCGGUUUUUUAAGUCUGAAGUUAAAGGCAUUGGCUCAACCAAUGUACGCUUUGGAAACUGGAGAACUUGAGUGCAGAAGGGGAGAAUGGAAUUCCAUGUGUAGCGGUGAAAUGCGUAGAUAUAUGGAGGAACACCGGUGGCGAAAGCGGCUCUCUGGUCUGUAAC
rnacentral:rRNA from 1 species